UUAAUUGAAACCAAAAUAGAGGUAUAUUACUGUUAAUAAUAUUAAUGAGUUUACUCCAAUUAGA
rnacentral:tRNA from 1 species